rnacentral:ncRNA from 1 species
GUAAAACCGUUGAGAAAGAGGAGUAGGUUAUCGAACGAUAUCACAGAGAGCAGCAGGCGGUGGGAUUGCUGUAUGGAGUUGAUAAUUGAAUGGACUUUCGAGGGCAGCCUGAAAUCAGAUAAUUGAGAGUAUGGUUUGUCGGGAACCAAACCCGUUAUCAAUAAGGGAUGUAUGUUAGUACAUAAAAGAGGACAGGAAACUGUUAAAGUUGAGUGGUACCGCGUUAGUAGAAGAUAUUAGUCGCCUCAAUC